AGGCAGCAGUGGGGAAUAUUGGUCAAUGGGCGAGAGCCUGAACCAGCCAAGUAGCGUGAAGGAUGAAGGUCCUAUGGAUUGUAAACUUCUUUUAUAGUAGAAUAAAGUGACCCACAUGUGGGUUUUUGUAUGUAUACUAUGAAUAAGGAUCGGCUAACUCCGUGCCAGCAGCCGCGGUAAUACGGAGGAUCCGAGCGUUAUCCGGAUUUAUUGGGUUUAAAGGGUGCGUAGGCGGAAUAAUAAGUCAGUUGUGAAAGUUUGCGGCUCAACCGUAAAAUUGCAGUUGAUACUGUUAUUCUUGAGUGUACAUAAGGUAGGCGGAAUUCGUGGUGUAGCGGUGAAAUGCUUAGAUAUCACGAAGAACUCCAAUUGCGAAGGCAGCUUACCGGGGUACAACUGACGCUGAGGCACGAAAGUGUGGGUAUCAAACAGGAUUAGAUANCCCUGGUAGUCCACACAGUAAACGAUGAAUACUCGCUGUUUGCGAUAUACCGCAAGCGGCCAAGCGAAAGCAUUAAGUAUUNCCACCUGGGGAGUANCGCCGGCAAACGGUGAAACUCAAAUGAAUUGACGGGGGC
rnacentral:rRNA from 1 species